rnacentral:rRNA from 1 species
UACAGAGGGUGCAAGCGUUAAUCGGAAUUACUGGGCGUAAAGCGUGCGCAGACGGUUGCGUAAGUCAGAUGUGAAAGCCCCGGGCUCAACCUGGGAAUUGCAUUUGAGACUGCGUGGCUAGGGUGCGGAAGAGGGAAGCGGAAUUUCCGGUGUAGCGGUGAAAUGCGUAGAUAUCGGAAGGAACACCAGUGGCGAAAGCGGCUUCCUGGUCCAGCACCGACGUUCAGGCACGAAAGCGUGGGGAGCAAACAGG